rfam:Gossypium raimondii Chr05_contig_1335, whole genome shotgun sequence.
UGUUAAAAAUUUCAUCCAUUUUUACUAUAAAAAAUUGGUGUAGCUAGCGGUAUAGCUAGACAGUUAUACGUGACGUGUCAAAUAUACCUCAUGCUAAUGUACGAGGACAAGUUUUCAACAGUAGAAAUAGAUGAAAUUUUUAAUA